GGCCGUGUGGCGAAAUGGCAUCGCGUCUGACUACGAUAAGGUAAUCAGGAGAUUGCAGGUUCGACCCCUGUCUCGGUCA